UACGGAGGGUGCAAGCAUUGAUCGGAAUUACUGGGCGUAAAGGGCGCGCAGGCGGUUGGAUAAGUCAGAUGUGAAAUUCCGGGGCUCAACCCCGGAGCUGCAUUUGAAACUGUCUAACUAGAGUACAGUUAGGGACAACGGAAUUCCACGUGUAGCGGUGAAAUGCGUAGAUAUGUGGAAGAACACCGGUGGUGAAGACGGUUGUCUGGGCUGUGACUGACGCGGAGGCGCGAAAGCUAGGGGAGCAAACAGG
rnacentral:rRNA from 1 species